GGGCACGCCCUCCCGGAGGCUGAACGGGUAGCCGCGCACGAAGUCGGCGCCCUCCUGGUAUGGGUCGUACAAGGUGUUGAAGAAGAGCGGCGUGGACGGGCAGAGCAGGUUCUGGAUGUGCUUGGCCAGCGCGUCGAUGUCCUUCCCCGUGGGGUCCUUGGCGACCUGCAAUGCCACCGCAGGACAGGAGACCAGUCAACUCCGGCCAAGAAGAGUUGAUAUGAUAUGACAACGGAAGUGAAAAAGAAAGAGAUGGAUCUGGUGGUGGUGGCACUCACGAAGCAGUCGUCGUCGAUGGUGUAGACGUACUUCUUCUUGGAGACCAUGUAGCCGAAGCAGCGGCAGGCGGAGUCCUUGAAGGAGAUGCAGGAGGCCUUGGGGCCGAGGAUGCGGUUGAUGUCGUUGCGGUUGUAGAGCUCGUAGUCGAAGCCCUCAGGCACCAUGACGGUCCUCGUGGGGUCGCCGUCCUG
rnacentral:lncRNA from 1 species